CACGUACAAUUAUAUGAUAAGUUUAUUGACAAUGGAGCUAUCUCAUAUUGUGAAUACCAAGAAUGAAGAAUCGGUUAUCAAAACACAAUGCGUUUGACCAUUUCCAUUCUAUUGUUUUUGACAGAACUGACAUUUGGAAAAGGAAAAAUAUCAUGGAAACUUUUGACCGAACAUGUAAUUUUUGGACGUGAUGUUCAACUACAGUGUGACUUGCCAAAACAAACGUGCUGUCCAACUAGGACAUGGAGAGGUGGUCAUGAUUAUAAAACUUUGACUCUUAAUGAAUGGUCAUCAAAUUAUACAAAAUAUGAAGAGCAUUUGAUAAACGAAAAUGGAACAUCAAUAUUGAAUAUUAAGUCAUUUUCCGAGGACGAUGUGGACAUUAUUUACCAAUGUAGUUAUGGAUUCUCCAGAUAUGAAGCCGUUUUGGAGCUGACAAAGCAGAGAUAUGAGUAUCACCCGGUCAAAUUGGUUCCCGCUACUUUGAGUUUUAACAGGUCACAUAUAUAUACAACAAUAACAUUAGAAAAGGUUUUCCCAAAACCUCUGUGUAGUGCCAACGCUGAUGAAAAGGAAAUUACAAAUGAAGCUCUGAAAGUAAACUCAAAACAUGACGGAAUCUUUUAUAAAUCAAUGGUUGACUUCAAGUAUAUGGUCGAUUCUCAACAUUGUGUUGGUUUGGUAACUAUUACUUGUACCAUUGGAACUGUACGCAUAACUAUUGCUAAAAAGAAGUUCUCGUGUCAAAAUAGUUAUUCAAACCAAAGCAGUCACCUUGCUCGGACAGGUUUCAUCGCAUCAAGCUCAUAUGACGAAGAACCAACUGUUGUUCAAAUACUUUUAAUAAUUGCAUUUUUCCAUUCCAUCAAGUAAAUACAUUCUAUAUCUUUUAAUGCAUAAAAACAUUAAAUUAAUGAUAUCAAAUGUCCUUGUAAUGGUUUGUUAUAUAACAUGUUGAGUAGAAAGGUUAAUUAUUCCAAAAUAUCCUUCUUAUAUUAUUGUAAAUAUUUAAUUAUAAAGUAUUUAAAAUAUCAAGAAAACCACAUAGAUUUUCUGAAAAUAUCAUUAUUGUCUAUUUAUAGACAAUAAUAACAUGAUAUUUAUAUGAAAAUGACCUAUGUAAAUAAAUUGUUCAAUUUGUAAAGGUCACUAACAUACACCGUCAUAUAACGGAAAUCGUUUAUUGCAGUAUAUCGAAGGAAGCCAAAUGAUCGUUACAUAGUUUAAUUUAAACAUAUUCUAAUUGCAAGAAUAACAAAAAUGAUUUAAGAUAAGUUAAAAAAAACUAUAUAAAGUACAGACGUAUGAAUCUCAAGUCAAACGAUGUAGUUUAUCAAAGUUUAUUAAAUGUUUCCGAAAUAAAGCCAGACUAUUCAAUACUAAACAGAAAAAAACAUUCACUGACACAUGCGAACGUGUUUCGAUAAUUCUAAGAUGGGUGUCAGCUUCGGAGUCGCAUGCCUCCCUUAUUUCAAUCACGGCUCAUGAUAGAUGACUUGCCUACUUUUAUUGUAUUUAUUUUUCAAAAAGGUCUCAAGUCACAAACUUCCAACGUAACAGUACGCUAAUUGUAAUUACAACCAGAACUGGUUUGCUAUUAUGAACGAUUAAGAAAAACUGUGUUUAUAUAGAACAUUAAAAAAAUAUUUUUUUGUUUAGAGGAUUACUUGAAAUAUGGUUUUAAUAUUAAUUUACUCACUAAACUACGUAGUGGAACAUUAAAACUGAAUAAAGAAGUUGGUCGUUUUGACAAUAUUUCAAGAUAAUACCGUAUAUGUAUAUGUUGUAAUAUGAAUUGUAUAGAAAAUGAGUAUUUUGUAUUAGUAUGUCCUGCCUUUAGAUCUUUGUGGCUACAGUUUUUACCUAAAUACUAUUGUACAAAUAAUUGAUAGCAUGUAUUUCUUUUGCAAGCUAGCUCAAAGAUUUUAACCAAAAUCUUGUGUAAAUUUCUAAAUGCGGCAUGGAAGUUAAGAUUACAAAUUAUAAUUGCAUAACAGUUGUAGUUCUGUGCUUGCUAUGACUUUAUUGUGUUGUUCUCUGUUUACUGUCAUUAUGUCAUUAUAUAUCAUGUUAUUUUGCUAUAGCAUUAUGUUUGCUUCUGCAAUAAAAUAUUCAUUCAUUCA